GCUCUGGACUUUGUUUUUGGAGGUAGCCUGUGAUGCAGGGCAGAAAAGAGCUGAUGCCUUGGAGAGAGACUGGGAGAGGCUGGAGUUAAUAGAGGGUCCCAGGGUAUCCAAGAAGCUGUCAUCCAGGUCUUCUCCAAUGAAGCUACAACAACCCACAGAGCCAGCAGGGGAACCUACACCUUCGAUGUCAUAUAUGAGCAAACAGUCAUUAGAUGGGCGUCCUUCAUCUUCAUCUGCAUGGAGUGAAUAUGAUGAUUCUGUGAAGGUUUAUUGCAACAUGACUUUUUCAGCACAGCAACAGGAAAAUUUGACUCUGGGUCUGUUCUACAAAAUUAAAGCUUUCUCAGCACAAAAAACAGCAUAGACUGUGAGUGAUGGCGGCCAUCUUGGUUCAUGUGUAAAGACUGAAUUUCAGUGACUACCAACGGCUAUUUCUUAGAAUGUGGCACUUACCCUGGGUUCAGGCUGUGGUCCUUCUACUGCCCAUGAAUGAAUUGCUCCAUCUGAACAUUCGGGAACAGGCUCAAAGCCAGCUGCACUACGAGGAGCACCUCCACAAUCACAACAGAUCAUCAAAAAUGGGACCACUGGUGGUGGAGGGAUAGUAAUACUAGAGUUAGCACUGGGUGCAAAUAAAAAACAAAACAACCUGAUUUUUUAUGGUUAAAU
rnacentral:lncRNA from 1 species